rnacentral:rRNA from 1 species
AUACGGAGGAUGCGAGCGUUAUCCGGAUUUAUUGGGUUUAAAGGGAGCGUAGGCGGGAGCUUAAGUCAGCGGUUAAAUGGUGCGGCUCAACCGUGCCCUGCCGUUGAAACUGGGUUUCUUGAGAGUGCAAGAGGCGGAUGGAAUUCAUGGUGUAGCGGUGAAAUGCUUAGAUAUCAUGAAGAACUCCGAUUGCGAAGGCAGUCCGCUGGAGCACGUCUGACGCUGAUGCUCGAAGGUGCGGGAAUCAAACAGGAUUAGAUACCCUGGUAGUCCGCACGGUAAACGAUGAUUACCCGCUGUCGGCGGUAGACAGUCGGCGGCCAAGCGAAAGCGAUAAGUAAUCCACCUGGGGAGUACGCCGGCAACGGUGAAACUCAAAUGAAUUGACGGGG